GCGAAAGUGGCGGAAUUGGUAGACGCACCAGAUUUAGGUUCUGGCGCCGCAAGGCGUGUGGGUUCGAGUCCCUCCUUUCGCACCA
rnacentral:tRNA from 1 species